rnacentral:rRNA from 1 species
UUAGCUGCGCUGCCUACCUGCAGUCGUACGGGUAACUGGCAACCUGGCGGCGAGUGGCGAACGGGUGAGUAAUAUAUCGGAACGUACCCUGGAGUGGGGGAUAACGUAGCGAAAGUUACGCUAAUACCGCAUACGAUCUAAGGAUGAAAGUGGGGGAUCGCAAGACCUCAUGCUCCUGGAGCGGCCGAUAUCUGAUUAGCUAGUUGGUGGGGUAAAGGCCUACCAAGGCAUCGAUCAGUAGCUGGUCUGAGAGGACGACCAGCCACACUGGAACUGAGACACGGUCCAGACUCCUACGGGAGGCAGCAGUGGGGAAUUUUGGACAAUGGGCGAAAGCCUGAUCCAGCAAUGCCGCGUGAGUGAAGAAGGCCUUCGGGUUGUAAAGCUCUUUUGUCAGGGAAGAAACGGAUUUUUCUAAUACAGAGAUCUAAUGACGGUACCUGAAGAAUAAGCACCGGCUAACUACGUGCCAGCAGCCGCGGUAAUACGUAGGGUGCAAGCGUUAAUCGGAAUUACUGGGCGUAAAGCGUGCGCAGGCGGUUUUGUAAGUUUGUCGUGAAAGCCCCGGGCUCAACCUGGGAAUGGCGAUGAAGACUGCAAGGCUUGAAUCUGGCAGAGGGGGGUAGAAUUCCACGUGUAGCACUGAAAUGCGUAUAGAUGUGGAGGAACACCGAUGGCGAAGGCAACCCCCUGGGUCAAGAUUGACGCUCAUGCCCGAAAGCGUGGGGAGCAAAC